rnacentral:lncRNA from 1 species
AACACUUUCCUCCUGCCUUGGCACCCAUGUGGUUUGUUCCUUCAUCACCCCCCCCCCACACACACACACACAUACACACAUACUGCUUAAUUUUUCACUUCAGUGUGGUGCAUAAGAGUGAGCACUUGAGAACCAGGAUGCCUGGAUCUCAGCUCUACUGCUGACUACUGUUGGGCAAGUUGCUUAGCUCUCCUGUGCCUUUGUCCUCUCAUGAGUGCACAGCGGUGAUAGUGACUCUGGCUACCCAAGGUUGCUGAGAAGCUAGCAUAGUGCACACUUGCAAUGGACGAGUUGAGUUGAUGCAUAGCCAGAACUUACCCUAGUGCGUUUGGACUGCUUGGCAGUGCCACCCACUCUCUCCUGGUGACUGGCUCUGCACACCUCCCUCUGCAUUUCCUUCAAGACUCCAGUUCUUGUUGAUGUUUUCAUGCUCCCUCCCACCGGAAUGCAACUUUUAAGAGGGAGGCUGUGUGCUCCUUCUGUGUCUCUCUCCCUGUCUUAACAAGCUCUCCUGUAGCUUAGGCUAGCUUGGAGUUCUCUAUCCAGCCAGGGCUGGCUUUGAACUCCUGAUUCUCUGGCCUCCAUCUCCCAAGGGCUGGGAUUACAGGUGUAUACCACCGCCCUGUAUUCAAGGACUCUUUCAUCGCUGCUCCUGUUUACACCCUGAGUGCUCACACAAAGUCUUAAUCGGCUUCUGGUCGUGGAUAUAUAGGGAAGCCAAACCUCACUGAGACCCGCUGUUGCCAGAGGCGAGAUCAAGCACUGGGAGUUGGGCACCCUGGCUGUGGAGACUGGCAGAAGAACCAGCAACUGCCCUGUGGCCAGCGUGCCUGGAAAGGUACCAAGGGGGAAGAGCCUGCGCCUCUGGAGUGAUUGGAGCUGGGGGGUGGUAGGGAGCGAUCUGAAACCUCGUGGCCACUCCGAUCUGUGCAGACUUGGGGCUGGGGUAAUCCCAGAACCAACAGUGGUGGCUCGGUUCUGUGGGUCCAGAAGCAGCGGGGUGCUCUUGCUGGAUGGGCCGCGGCAGGUGGGGCGCGCCUUCCGGAGCGUGGCUGGCGGGCGGUGCCGGGGAAGGGGCCGUUACUUUCCCAGAGUGGCGGGGAGGGCGACGUCAGGCGGAAGGGC